rnacentral:rRNA from 1 species
GCUUAACACAUGCAAGUCGAGCGGUAAGGCCCUUCGGGGUACACGAGCGGCGAACGGGUGAGUAACACGUGGGUGAUCUGCCUCGCACUUCGGGAUAAGCCUGGGAAACUGGGUCUAAUACCGGAUAUGACUUCUGGUCGCAUGGCUGGGGGUGGAAAGAUUUAUCGGUGCGAGAUGGGCCCGCGGCCUAUCAGCUUGUUGGUGGGGUAAUGGCCUACCAAGGCGACGACGGGUAGCCGGCCUGAGAGGGCGACCGGCCACACUGGGACUGAGACACGGCCCAGACUCCUACGGGAGGCAGCAGUGGGGAAUAUUGCACAAUGGGCGAAAGCCUGAUGCAGCGACGCCGCGUGAGGGAUGACGGCCUUCGGGUUGUAAACCUCUUUCGACAGGGACGAAGCGCAAGUGACGGUACCUGUAGAAGAAGCACCGGCCAACUACGUGCCAGCAGCCGCGGUAAUACGUAGGGUGCGAGCGUUGUCCGGAAUUACUGGGCGUAAAGAGCUUGUAGGCGGUUUGUCGCGUCGUCUGUGAAAACUCACAGCUCAACUGUGAGCUUGCAGGCGAUACGGGCAGACUUGAGUACUGCAGGGGAGACUGGAAUUC